GCGGGCUGCUGGAGGGCAUCCUGGCGGCGUCUCACCUCAGCGAGUCUGGGCUUUGGCUGGCGGUAGGAAGCAGGCGAGGCGCCCGAGGAGAGGGGAUGGUGAAGGAGGAAGCACCGGGGAUAUGGGACAAUGGCUGAGAAAAGUAGCGCGAGCUGUCGGGAGAAAUCGGAGGGAAGGGACAGCGUGCGCGCCGACUGCGUCCUGAAGCGGGGGACUGAGGGCAGCACGCACUUUACCCUUUUAAAGUUUUAUUUCUUGGAAACCCAAUUUGAAGGAAUUUUGUUGAUUUUGUUGCUAUUUAAACAAAAGGAGAAACGCCCACCAUCUGAAUGCAGCGCUGGCUUUAAAGGUCUACGGGAGACACUAGCAGGCCCCAUCAGUUAGCUGCCUCCACUGGAAACCGCCUGGAAAAGCAAAAGGUCGUGGAAGACUUUCUCCACAGCAUCAAUUUUACAUGUCUGAAGAUGUUGAAAACCUAUAACUUACCAUAUGAUAUUGAAUAGAAGUGGUUAGUUCUUCAGGUUGCCUGGCUCCAUCAGUAGAGCAUGCGACUCUUGAUCUCAGGUUUGUAAGUUUGAGCCCCACAUUGGGUAUAGA